AACGAACGCUGGCGGCGUGCCUAACACAUGCAAGUCGUGCGAGAAAGUUCCUUCGGGAGCGAGUAAAGCGGCGCACGGGUGAGUAACACGUAGGUAACCUGCCCCCCAGUCUGGAACAACUAGAGGAAACUCUAGCUAAUGCCGGAUGAGACCACGAUCCCUUCGGGGGUUGCGGCCUAAGAUGGCCUCUACUUGUAAGCUAUCGCUGAGGGAUGGGCCUGCGGGCCAUUAGCUUGUUGGUGAGGUAACGGCUCACCAAGGCUGCGAUGGCUAGCUGGUCUGAGAGGAUGACCAGCCACACUGGGACUGAGACACGGCCCAGACUCCUACGGGAGGCAGCAGUGGGGAAUAUUGCGCAAUGGGCGAAAGCCCGACGCAGCGACGCCGCGUGGGUGAUGAAGGCCUCGGUCGUAAG
rnacentral:rRNA from 1 species